GAUGAAGAACGUAGCGAAAUGCGAUAAGUAAUGUGAAUUGCAGAAUUCAGUGAAUCAUCGAAUCUUUGAACGCACAUUGCGCCCGCCAGUAUUCUGGCGGGCAUGCCUGUUCGAGCGUCAUUUCAACCAUCAAGCCCCGGGCUUGUGUUGGGGACCUGCGGCUGCCGCAGGCCCUGAAAAGCAGUGGCGGGCUCGCUGUCACACCGAGCGUAGUAGCAUACAUCUCGCUCUGGGCGUGCUGCGGGUUCCGGCCGUUAAACCACCUUUUAACCCAAGGUUGACCUCGGAUCAGGUAGGAAGACCCGCUGAACUUAAGCAUAUCAAUAAGCGGAGA
rnacentral:misc_RNA from 1 species